AAAUUCUACACUACUUAAAUUGAUAUUAUCUAUUGCCAUGUCUAGCCAAUAAACUAAUAUCAUCGAGCCAUUUUUCUAUAUUUGUCCUACUGUCUACACGUGUCUCAACAUUUAAUCUUGAGAGACAUAGUCAUGAUCCUUCUUUCCACAUGUAGCCGUAGGAACACAUAUUGGCCAAAAUACCAUGACUCAUCCAAUUUCUUCUAUCCACGUGGCACUCAUUGGCUCCAUUUCCUUACACCUAAGCUUUGAAUGGAGCCUAUAUAUAUUGUGGAAACGUGAGUGCAGAAUAAUGCUACACACACACAAAGCAUUAAGAAACAUAUGUUACUCACAAUAAUACUAGUUGUGAGUAGAUGAGUUUUUAGUGAAAAUUCUUGAGAGUAUGUCUUGAGUGUGAGGAAAUUCUUGUGUUUUGGAGCGGAAGUUAGGAUCUUGAAGCUUAGCAUUUACGAAAGAGAUUAAAUUUUAUUAAGGUAAGGGCACUCGGUCUAGACUUGUCUGCAUGUGAUUGUGCCAUAUGAUGCUUGUUUAUAUGAUUUUUUGUUGGUUUAAACUUAAUGAUGCAAGUAUUUCUAUAUGAUGUAUUAAACUUGAAAUCCUGUUAUUAUGCUUUGGCGUAUGAAUUGAAUAUUGUGAUUUAUGAUAAAUUUGAGAUGUGAGCGUUGGCAAAAGAUGGUUUUGCCGGUGGUUAACCGGAUACUCAAUAAGGAGUUAUUUUUUUAUAUGUUCGGACUAUGAGGAUGACGGUUCCGAUGUUGUGUUGACUAACCGCAUGGCAUUAUGCAUGUUUUGUUGUGGUUCGGAACCGAUUAGGUUGAACCACGAUAUGAAACUCUGUCAAGGUAUAACGACAUUUUCGAAGAAGUGACAAAAUAAAAGCGACGGUGCGUUAUUAAGAUUAACCCCAAUUGUGGAGUCGUGCGAGUGAUUCGACGACGGUGCGUUAGUGUUGACUAACCCCAAUUGUGGAGUCGUAUUUUGUCUCGUCUUCUUUUAAGUCGUUGCUGAAAUUACAAUUAGCAUAUGCAUGAGCAUGUAGUCUAACUGGACUCUAGGUGGACUUGUUUAUGCUUUUGGCUUUAUUACUCUAUAUGUUAGUCGUUUACCUAUAUAACAUGAGCCUGAGAUUGCAAAUGAUGUAUUAGAAUUGAUGACCUUAUUAAUGUGAUGUUAUGUCAAUCUUGUUACAUGUUAUAUGUGUUGUUUGGGAGUUGACCCUUGCUUAUUUGACUGUGUGCUGCAUGGGCGCCUAACGCCAGAGAAUGAUAGACCGCGCCGAGAAAGUACUAUAUGAUUGAGGACGUGUUCAAGGGACAGGCGGAUGUCAGUCAAUUUCUUAGGUGGUAAAUGCUUGGAAUGGAAGAUAAGGUUAAAGGUAGUUGUUGGGGUAGCAAAAGGGUUGCAGUAUCUUCAUCAUGAUUGUCCAAGAAGAAUCAUUCACAGGGACAUCAAAGCCUCAAACAUAUUACUCAAUCACAAUGAUGAAGCCGAGUUUGCAUACUUAUAAAAACUCUACAACUAUCUCUUUGCAUAUGCAAUCUAACUGUUUCACUUUAACUGAUGCUCAUAGUCUUUUACUGAUGUAAUUUAACUAUUUACGACAUCCACCUCAGAUAGUAAAUUUUUUGAUAAUUUUCAAUGCAUGAUGAUAAUAGUAUUAUUGAUAUUUUCCUUUCUAGAGGUUGCCAUAAUUGAAGGAGGUGUUUGAUUAAUUUUUUUGUUAUUUUGAUUUCCAUUCUAUUGUGUAGAUGAUGCUAAUUCUUUGUUUUGGUUAUGUGGCUGGGGACCAAGUUGGUGUUCUAUUGAAGGUCCAAAUUUAAUCUCCCUGUCACAUUGAAUUGAUAUUAUCUGAAAAGGAAGAGCCUUUCAAAAAGGAGGAAAUGGUUUGUUUAUCUCCGUUCCAAUUUUUUAGAAAACUGUUAUGACUCAUAAGAAAAUAGUGUAUGUUGCAUGACUUGAUGACCAUCAAGACCAUCUUCAGUUGAUUUGAAUUGAAGUGAGCUCAACAAUUCAGGAACUGGAUGAGAUGCCAAGAGGGAGAGACAUAGAGCAAGCUCUCCCUAGGCUAAGGGUGCAGCCUUAAUCCCUUUUGUAAUUUGAUAUUUGAUUUCCAAUGGGUAGUAGUGUUUGUAUUCCAAACUGUACCAUGAAAUUUGCAGUUUUUUUUCUCUUUUACCGAUUAUUAGCUAUACAUCUCUGAUGUGGGAUGAACGAAUAAAGGGUUGCGGGAAAGUAAAAGGUCCUUAGCUUAGUAGUAUACAAUAUAAGAUCUAUAGUCGGUUCGCCUGUCUUUUAUUAUGUAGCAUUUGUCAUGUAUUUUAUUUUCUUCUUAAGCUAAGACUAAAAAACUUAAAUGUAACAUUUCUAUUCCGUCUUGAAUAAU